AACGAACGCUGGCGGCAUGCCUAACACAUGCAAGUCGAACGAGACCUUCGGGUCUAGUGGCGCACGGGUGCGUAACGCGUGGGAACCUGCCCUUAGGUUCGGAAUAACUCCCCGAAAGGGGUGCUAAUACCGGAUAAUGUCUUCGGACCAAAGAUUUAUCGCCUUUGGAUGGGCCCGCGUUGGAUUAGCUAGUUGGUAGGGUAAAAGCCUACCAAGGCGACGAUCCAUAGCUGGUCUGAGAGGAUGAUCAGCCACACUGGGACUGAGACACGGCCCAGACUCCUACGGGAGGCAGCAGUGGGGAAUAUUGGACAAUGGGCGAAAGCCUGAUCCAGCAAUGCCGGGUGAGUGAUGAAGGCCUUAGGGUUGUAAAGCUCUUUUACCCGGGAUGAUAAUGACAGUACCGGGAGAAUAAGCUCCGGCUAACUCCGU
rnacentral:rRNA from 1 species